rnacentral:ribozyme from 13 species
UGUCUUUGUCUUUGUCUUUGUCUUUUUGUCUCUGUCUUUGCCUUUCUCUUUCUUUUACUCUUCUUUCAGUGAUGGCUGACACCACUAAGCCUGAAGAGGGCGCAGAAUUUGAGGGACUCACUUUGAAAGAAAAAGGAAACAAAU